rnacentral:lncRNA from 1 species
UGGCAUACGAGCCUAUAAGGCCGACAUAAUUAUUUGUAUACUCAAGACAUAAGCCGAUAAGGCCAUACAAGUAUCCAUAUACAUGUCAUCUAUCUACAAGCCUCUAAGAGUACAUAAAUAUCAUAAAGGUCGGGACAAAGCCUCAUCAUACCAAUCAAUACAUAUUCAAAUCAUACUAACCAAAUAGGCAACUUCGGAGCAAGUGGAGUGCACAAACACCUUCUGCUGAGCUGAUAGCCUACUAGGAGAACUCUCAACCUAUCUAUCGGGACCUUCUGUCAUGAAAUGCAGCGUCCCCAGGCAAAAGGGACGUAAGUACAAAUAAAGUGCCGAGUAUAAAAGGCAUGAAAGAAACAUGGAGUAAGGAACUCAACCUUUAAAUCUGAAUAGCUUUGUGAAUUAUGAAAAUAUUUAUAAUGUCAUGCAUGUGCGUAUAAAUGCCAUACCAUGCAUAAGUAUAUGCGUACAUAACAUCAUCAAGCCUCUGAGGGCAUCCCAUCAUAUCAUCUCAGCCACUGUGGGCGAAAUCAUCAACGUAUACCAGCUAAUCAAGUGGUGGUGAGUAUAUAACGCCAUAACCUUUUUCAUAUCCCAUAUACAUAUAAUAUACGCGUAUAUAACGCCAUGUGGUCAUGGGUCAAUGUACAUGUAUAAAUGAAUGCAAUGCAUAAGGAAGUAAAUCUAUAAGAUCUCUCAGAAUAUCAUAAGACCCAUGAACAGACGAUAUGAUAGUAGGAAAUAGAACAUAGGAAACCCUAGUACUUCUAGGAAUAGAAUUAUUUGUGAAAGUUGCGUACUUGCUCAUUUCUUGUAUCAUAUGGAUCAUGCCAAAAAGGAAAUAAGGGAUAGCCUUAACAUACCUUAUCACAAUCUUUCCAAUCAUCAAGUUGAACUCGCCUCUUCGUACCUUAAUC